GAAAUGAGGACCAAAGGCAGUUAUGGGACAUGGUUUUGUCACCACUGAUGCCUUCCAGACCUGUGUUCGGCCAGGAUAAUGGGUGAAUUUCAUAAUUCUACAGUCGUGUUCUGUUUUGUCUUAGUGCUCUGAGCUCUGAGCCUCCAUUUUCUCAUCUCAUCUCACAGAGACAGCUCCUGCCAUCAGCUCACUCUGGUGAUCACUAAUGCACACCCUGCAGAGUGCCCGACGCCAGCUUGUUCUUAACGUUCACUGGUUUGCCACACCUUGCGCUAAGCAUCCCUACACAGCUCUAGUGAGUCCAAAUACUGGGCCUCACUGUUUUCGUGAUUAAAAAAAUAUUCUUGUAACCAG
rnacentral:lncRNA from 1 species